rnacentral:rRNA from 1 species
GGAAUAUUGGGCAAUGGGCGCAAGCCUGACCCAGCAACGCCGCGUGAGGGAAGAAGGUUUUCGGAUUGUAAACCUCUGUCCUAUGUGACGAAGGAAGUGACGGUAGCAUAGGAGGAAGCCCCGGCUAACUACGUGCCAGCAGCCGCGGUAAUACGUAGGGGGCGAGCGUUGUCCGGAAUUACUGGGCGUAAAGGGUGCGUAGGCGGCACGGUAAGUUGGAUGUGAAAUACCCGGGCUUAACUUGGGGGCUGCAUCCAAAACUGCUGAGCUUGAGUGCGGGAGAGGAAAGCGGAAUUCCUAGUGUAGCGGUAAAAUGCGUAGAUAUUAGGAGGAACACCGGUGGCGAAGGCGGCUUUCUGGACCGUAACUGACGCUGAGGCACGAAAGUGUGGGGAGCAAACA